GCGCUGUGUACCGUGUAGCUGAUGCCUCGCAGGCGCUCCGGGUCCCUGCUGUCGCGGUAGCGCCGCGCGGUGGGUGAUGGGAGAGCGCGCCCAUUCCCACGCCGCGCCAAGUGCCACGGGAGCAGGUGGGGCCGCGUGUACAGGCGCGGGGCGGUUGGGCUGCCUCUCAUGAUCCUCUCAUGAUCCUGCCUCUCAUGAUCCUCAGCGGGCGGUGCCCGGCGGUCCCUCAGAUCCGGGAAAUCUGCACCUCGCUGUGGCGUAGACCAAGGGGCCGAUGCUGCUUCAGCCCGCAGUUACUGCCCUGGCGUCAGCCAGACACUGGGGUGCUGCUGGGCGUCGAGAGGGCUGCUGCGGGGCCGGGCUAAGCAUGGGGGGCUGCAGGUGUCGGAGCGGAUGUAGGCAUAGCGGGGCUGCUGGGCCUCGAGAGCGCUCUGGAACGGCAUGCCCGCAGAGUGCGUCUCAUCACCCGUUGCCGGUGCCGGGAACCUCGUUAGGACCCGGUUCGAUGUAGCUGCAGCCCGGGCGCGAGAGGCAGGGGGCAGGCAGGCCGAGAGGACCCUGUACCUACAUGCCUGGGGGCUGCAGACGGCUCUGGGCCUCCUUGUUGUGGGUGUAAGUGUGUGCUUCCGACUCAGGAGAGGAGAGCAAGGGCGGGCUACCAAGGCCUCCCCACAGGGCUGUGCCCAGCCUAAGCCUGCCGAGUCAGCACCCAGAUCCGGGACAAGAUAGGUGAGGAUGAAGUGGUGCUCUUCUCACUUGCACGAGCCGCCCCACGCCACCUCUCCUCGGUUUCACGGUGCCUAGAGAAGAGGUGGGAGAGGGUGCAGGCGCCCCAGCUCAGGAUCUAAUGCCUGUGGGCCAAGGACCUGGAUGCAGGCCAGGAGUCUUUGGGGCCACGGCAGGCAGCCGGAUUCACCGGAAAGUGACGCUUCUCAAGGGGAACACACACGUAACACACCAGCUCCCCUUCUGCCCUGGUCCAGUGACUCCUUUCAUGAAAGCUCUCUGAAAUGUUAUCUGCAUUUACACCCAAACUCACUCACUUUGAUCCCUGAAACGCGAAUCAAAGAUCACAUUGUACCUUCCCUGGGUCUGUGGGGCUUUCAGCAGCCUGGGCCAAAAAUAAUAAAAGUGGCACCGAGCCAGGAAACGCCUCCUUGAAGUGGGAAUGAAACUUGAAUUUUUUUCGGUUGUAUCUUUCCUAAUUGACCUGAUAAUUUAAACUUCCUCCCUCAAGGGAAAGGUGGGGGUUCCCACAAAUUCAGCUUACCUCAGCCUCUAGGCAGCUCAGCCUACAGCUUAGCGCCCAUCAGCAGAGUGGGCAGUGGGCCUGUGCAAGAGAUGAAUCCAACUGAGCCAGAAAAGCCCUUUUUUGGUCCAAAUUUUUUUUCUUUCAGGCCUUGUCCUGUGUAUACCAGUCAUGCACCACAUAACAUUUUGGUCAACAAGGGACCACAUAUAUAACUGGUCAUCCAGUAAGCUAUGGUUACUUUAUUAUUGAAGAAAGAAAAUUUUUAGGCCAGGCGCGGUGGUGGGUCACGCCUGUAAUCCCAGCACUUUGGGAGGCCGAGGCGGGCAGCUCAUUUGAGGUCAGGAGUUUGAGACCAGCCUGGCCAACAUGGUGAAACCCUGUCUCUACCAAAAAUACAAAAAGUUAGCCGGGUGUGGUAGCAUGUGCCUGUAAUCCCAGCUACUUGGGAGACUGAGGCAGGAAAAUCACUUGAACCCGGGAGGCAGAGGUGGUAGUGAGCUGAGAUUGUACCACUGCACUCCAGCCUGGGCAACAGCAAGACUCCGUCUCAAAAAAAGGAAAACGUUUAAUAUAAAUAUGGUGCAGCCUAAGUGUACAGUGUUUAUAAAGUCUGAAGUAGGCCGGGCGCGGUGGCUCAAGCCUGUAAUCCCAGCACUUUGGGAGGCUGAGACGGGCGGAUCACGAGGUCAGGCGAUCAAGACCAUCCUGGCUAACACGGUGAAACCCCGUCUCUACUAAAAAAUACAAAAAAAAAAAAAAAAAAAA
ensembl:lncRNA